CAGCCGCCGCGGUAAUACGUAGGGUGCGAGCGUUAAUCGGAAUUACUGGGCGUAAAGCGUGCGCAGGCGGUUAUAUAAGACAGAUGUGAAAUCCCCGGGCUCAACCUGCGACCUGCAUUUGUGACUGUAUAGCUAGAGUACGGUAGAGGGGGAUGGAAUUCCGCGUGUAGCAGUGAAAUGCGUAGAUAUGCGGAGGAACACCGAUGGCGAAGGCAAUCCCCUGGACCUGUACUGACGCUCAUGCACGAAAGCGUGAGGAGCAAACAGGAUUAGAUACCCCAGUAGUCCCUGUCUCUUAUAC
rnacentral:rRNA from 1 species